rnacentral:lncRNA from 1 species
GCAUCGACUAGGGAAACAAAUCCUAUAUUUCAUCAAGACAAUCCAACGAAAGUUUUCUAGUUCUUUCACCCGCUUAUCUACUGCUCUUGUCUAAUUUGGAUUGGGAACCCAUGAGAUGAGACAUAAGAGAUUUCGAAUUUCAUUCCUCUGUUGUAAACUCUCUUUCUAUAUUGGAGGAAAUUUUUUUAGCAAGCUCCUAAGAGCAUCUCCAAAGGAGCGAUUUGUGCAAUUGUGCUUAAUUGUUUACCGCUUAGUACUAUGGUCUAGUAGUAUUCCUCUUUACUUGUAAGUGCGAAGUAUUAUGUUUAAUUUCACCACCACAUUAUUGCUAGCCCAUUGUGAGAUUAAGCCCACCCUUUCCCCUUAGAGCAGCUCCAGUGGGAGCUCUUACUCGAGGGACAGGCUCCGGAACAGGGCUUGAUUGCCCGAGGGAGGAAGUCCAGCGUUGG